UACGUAGGGUGCAAGCGUUGUCCGGAAUUAUUGGGCGUAAAGAGCUCGUAGGCGGCCUGUCGCGUCGGCUGUGAAAACCCGAGGCUCAACCUCGGGCCUGCAGUCGAUACGGGCAGGCUAGAGUUCGGUAGGGGAGACUGGAAUUCCUGGUGUAGCGGUGAAAUGCGCAGAUAUCAGGAGGAACACCGGUGGCGAAGGCAGGUCUCUGGGCAUUAACUGACGCUGAGGAGCGAAAGCAUGGGGAGCGAACAGG
rnacentral:rRNA from 1 species